rnacentral:piRNA from 1 species
UGGGGUCACAAUGGAAAUAGGCUUGU